GAAGAGCUCGUAGGCGGUUUGUCGCGUCUGCUGUGAAAGACCGGGGCUCAACUCCGGUUCUGCAGUGGGUACGGGCAGACUAGAGUGCAGUAGGGGAGACUGGAAUUCCUGGUGUAGCGGUGAAAUGCGCAGAUAUCAGGAGGAACACCGAUGGCGAAGGCAGGUCUCUGGGCUGUAACUGACGCUGAGGAGCGAAAGCAUGGGGAGCGAACAGGAUUAGAUACCCUGGUAGUCCAUGCCGUAAACGUUGGGCACUAGGUGUGGGGGACAUUCCACGUUUUCCGCGCCGUAGCUAACGCAUUAAGUGCCCCGCCUGGGGAGUACGGCCGCAAGGCUAAAACUCAAAGGAAUUGACGGGGGCCCGCACAAGCGGCGGAGCAUGCGGAUUAAUUCGAUGCAACGCGAAGAACCUUACCAAGGCUUGACAUGAACCGGUAAUACCUGGAAACAGGUGCCCCGCUUGCGGUCGGUUUACAGGUGGUGCAUGGUUGUCGUCAGCUCGUGUCGUGAGAUGUUGGGUUAAGUCCCGCAACGAGCGCAACCCUCGUUCUAUGUUGCCAGCGGUUCGGCCGGGGACUCAUAGGAGACUGCCGGGGUCAACUCGGAGGAAGGUGGGGACGACGUCAAAUCAUCAUGCCCCUUAUGUCUUGGGCUUCACGCAUGCUACAAUGGCCGGUACAAAGGGUUGCGAUACUGUGAGGUGGAGCUAAUCCCAAAAAGCCGGUCUCAGUUCGGAUUGGGGUCUGCAACUCGACCCCAUGAAGUCGGAGUCGCUAGUAAUCGCAGAUCAGCAACGCUGCGGUGAAUACGUUCCCGGGCCUUGUACACACCGCCCGUCAAGUCACGAAAGUUGGUAACACCCGAAGCCGGUGCCUAACCCUUGUGGGGGGGAGCCGUCGAAGUGGGACCGGCGAUUGGGACUAAGUCGUACCCAGGGUAGCC
rnacentral:rRNA from 1 species